GGGGUUGUAGUUAAUUAUAACAUUUAAUUUGCAAUUAAAAAGUACUUUUUUAGUCCUCCUCA
rnacentral:tRNA from 1 species